rnacentral:rRNA from 1 species
GAUGAACGCUGGCGGCAUGCCUAACACAUGCAAGUCGAUCGGUAAGGCUCUUCGGAGUACACGAGAGGCGGACGGCUGAGUAACGCGUAGGAACACACCCUGCAGUGAGGGAUAAGACACCGAAAGGUGUUCUAAUACCGCAUACGGUCUUCGGAUUAAAGCAUUUAUGCGCUGAAGGAGUGGCCUGCGUCAUAUUAGAUAGUUGGUGAGGUAAUGGCUCACCAAGUCGAUGAUGUGUAGCUGGUCUGUGAGGAUGAUCAGCCAGACUGGAACUGAGACACGGUCCAGACUCCUACGGGAGGCAGCAGUGAGGAAUAUUUCACAAUGAGCGAAAGCUUGAUGGAGCAAUGCCGCGUGCAGGAUGAAGGCCCUCGGGUUGUAAACUGCUUUUAUAAGAGAAGAUUAUGACGGUAACUUAUGAAUAAGGGACGGCUAACUACGUG